GCAGUGGGGAAUAUUGGACAAUGGGCGCAAGCCUGAUCCAGCCAUGCCGCGUGAGUGAUGAAGGCCUUAGGGUUGUAAAGCUCUUUUAGCGGGGAAGAUAAUGACGGUACCCGCAGAAGAAGCCCCGGCUAACUUCGUGCCAGCAGCCGCGGUAAUACGAAGGGGGCUAGCGUUGCUCGGAAUUACUGGGCGUAAAGGGCGCGUAGGCGGACAGUUUAGUCAGAGGUGAAAGCCCAGGGCUCAACCUUGGAAUUGCCUUUGAUACUGACUGUCUUGAGUACGGGAGAGGUGUGUGGAACUCCGAGUGUAGAGGUGAAAUUCGUAGAUAUUCGGAAGAACACCAGUGGCGAAGGCGACACACUGGCCCGUUACUGACGCUGAGGCGCGAAAGCGUGGGGAGCAAACAGGAUUAGAUACCCUAGUAG
rnacentral:rRNA from 1 species